CCUACGGGGGGCAGCAGUGGGGAAUAUUGGACAAUGGGGGGAACCCUGAUCCAGCCAUGCCGCGUGUGUGAAGAAGGCCCUCGGGUUGUAAAGCACUUUCAGUGAGGAAGAACGCCUGGUGGUUAAUACCCAUCAGGAAAGACAUCACUCACAGAAGAAGCACCGGCUAACUCCGUGCCAGCAGCCGCGGUAAUACGGAGGGUGCGAGCGUUAAUCGGAAUUACUGGGCGUAAAGCGCGCGUAGGUGGCUUGAUAAGCCGGUUGUGAAAGCCCCGGGCUCAACCUGGGAACGGCAUCCGGAACUGUCAAGCUAGAGUGCAGGAGAGGAAGGUAGAAUUCCCGGUGUAGCGGUGAAAUGCGAAGAGAUCGGGAGGAAUACCAGUGGCGAAGGCGGCCUUCUGGACUGACACUGACACUGAGGUGCGAAAGCGUGGGUAGCAAACAGGAUUAGAUACCCGUGUAGUC
rnacentral:rRNA from 1 species